rnacentral:tRNA from 1 species
GGAGAAGUACUCAAGUUGGCCGAAGAGGCGCCCCUGCUAAGGGUGUAGGUCGGGAAACCGGCGCGAGGGUUCAAAUCCCUCCUUCUCCG